CCUACGGGAGGCAGCAGUGGGGAAUUUUGGACAAUGGGCGAAAGCCUGAUCCAGCAAUGCCGCGUGCAGGACGAAGGCCUUCGGGUUGUAAACUGCUUUUGUACGGAACGAAACGGUCUCUUUUAAUACAGGGGGCUAAUGACGGUACCGUAAGAAUAAGCACCGGCUAACUACGUGCCAGCAGCCGCGGUAAUACGUAGGGUGCGAGCGUUAAUCGGAAUUACUGGGCGUAAAGCGUGCGCAGGCGGUUAUAUAAGACAGAUGUGAAAUCCCCGGGCUCAACCUGGGACCUGCAUUUGUGACUGUAUAGCUAGAGUACGGUAGAGGGGGAUGGAAUUCCGCGUGUAGCAGUGAAAUGCGUAGAUAUGCGGAGGAACACCGAUGGCGAAGGCAAUCCCCUGGACCUGUACUGACGCUCAUGCACGAAAGCGUGGGGAGCAAACAGGAUUAGAUACCCUGGUAGUCCACGCCCUAAACGAUGUCAACUGGUUGUUGGGUCUUCACUGACUCAGUAACGAAGCUAACGCGUGAAGUUGACCGCCUGGGGAGUACGGCCGCAAGGUUGAAACUGAAGAUGACGNNGAGAGNGCGAGACGACGACGAGGGAGGAGG
rnacentral:rRNA from 1 species